rnacentral:rRNA from 1 species
UGGGGUAUAUUGCACAAUGGGCGCAAGCCUGAUGCAGCGACGCCGCGUGGGGGAUGAAGGCCUUCGGGUUGUAAACUUCUUUUGCUCUGAACAAGGCGCACUUUGGGGUGUGUUGAGUGUAGGGGUUGAUUAGCGCCGGCUAACUACGUGCCAGCAGCCGCGGUAAUACGUAGGGCGCGAGCGUUGUCCGGAAUUAUUGGGCGUAAAGGGCUUGUAGGUGGCUGGUUGCGUCUGUCGUGAAAGCUCAUGGCUUAACUGUGGGUUUGCGGUGGGUACGGGCUGGCUUGAGUGCAGUAGGGGAGGCUGGAAUUCCUGGUGUAGCGGUGGAAUGCGCAGAUAUCAGGAGGAAUACCGGUGGCGAAGGCGGGGCUCUGGGCUGUUACUGACACUGAGGAGCGAAAGCAUGGGGAGCGAACAGG